GAUUGAUAACUAAAAAAUUUUCUACAAUAGUAUAUUUGAAAAAGAUGGCAAGAAACAUAGCACUGAAUGGCACACCUAGAUUUUGCAAUAUAGUUAUAAGCACAACAUUCUGCUGGAAAUAACAAGUUCAGACACUCAAAACCAUAGUAGCAAGAAAAUUGAAGGAACAAAGCAAUGUUUGGUAAAACAUGAAAACUGGAACCUGUUUCACAAAUAACAUUUCUUCCUUUGUUGAAUAAGUUUUUACAAUAUGCUAGAUCCAAUGGCAAUUCAUUGAGGAGUAACAUCAUCUAUCACGUUAAUACAACUCAACCAAAUGUAAUUCCAAAUUACUUUGGACCAGCUAAAUGAAUAUGUUUCCUCCAUUCCACCCAGUGCAGUGGUAUGGCACAUCUUUGGAAAGAUCUAGGACCACUUAAUUGUUUACCAUUCCACCCAGUCUUCAAUUAUAAAGGCACAAAAAAUACUCAAAGAUGUGUAAACAAACAUGAGAUGAUUUCAAAGAAUACAUAAGAUAUAUAACUAAAUAAGAAAUACAUAAUAGUGUAAAC
rnacentral:misc_RNA from 1 species